AUUGAACGCUGGCGGCAGGCCUAACACAUGCAAGUCGAACGAGUGGCGGCCGGGUGAGUAAUGUCUGGGAAACUGCCCGAUGGAGGGGGAUAACUACUGGAAAUGGUAGCUAAUACCGCAUACCAUCGGAUGUGCCCAGAUGGGGUUAGCUGGUAGGUGGGGUAACGGCUCACCUAGGCGACGAUCCCUAGCUGGUCCGAGAGGAUGACCAGCCACACUGUAAUGGAGACACGGUCCAGACUCCUAGAGGAGACAGCAGUGGGAAAUAUUGCACAAUUGGCACAAGCCUGAUGCAGCCAUGCCGCGUGUAUGAAAAAGGCCUUCGGUUUGUAAAGUACUUUCAGCGAGGAGGCGUUACUCGCAGAAGAAGCACCGGCUAACUCCGUGCCAGCAGCCGCGAUAAUUC
rnacentral:rRNA from 1 species